UACAGGGGGGGCAAGCGUUGUUCGGAAUUACUGGGCGUAAAGGGUCUGUAGGUGGCCAACUAAGUCAGACGUGAAAUCCCUCAGCUUAACUGGGGAACUGCGUCUGAUACUGGAUGGCUUGAGUGUGGGAGAGGAAUGCGGAAUUCCAGGUGUAGCGGUGAAAUGCGUAGAUAUCUGGAGGAACACCGGUGGCGAAGGCGGCAUUCUGGACCAUAACUGACGCUGAGGAGCGAAAGCGUGGGCAGCAAACAGG
rnacentral:rRNA from 1 species